UCUUUCACUCUUUGCAAUAAAUCUUGGUGCUGCUCACUCUUUGGGUCCACACUGCUUUUAUGAGCUGUAACACUCACCGCAAAAGUGAAGUCUGCAGCUUCACUCUUGAAGCCAGCGAGACCACGAGCCCAAGCCCACUGGGAGGAAGGAACAACUCCAGACGCCCCCUUAAGAGCUGUAACACUCACUGCGAAGGUCUGCAGCUUCAGUCCUGAGGCAGCGAGACCGCGAACCUACCAGAAGGAAGAAACUCCGAACAUACCCGAACAUCAGAAGGAACAAACUCCAGACGCGCCACCUUAAGAGCUGUAACACUCACCGCGAGGGUGGGCGGCUUCAUUCUUGAAGUCAGCGAGACCAAGAACCCACCAAUUCCGGACAGAAAACCUCAAGUAGUCCCUCCACUGAAAGCACUUUAUAAGGAUCAUUUUGCCUCCAAGCCUUCCUAUAGGCGAGAGGAGCUUACUGUCACUUCCUAGAAGAAAAUGUUGUGGCAUGAGGCACUUCUCUGAUCAUAUCACUGCUGUACUAAAGGUAUAGAAUGUAUUCGGUGUUGAGGAGUUUGGACAGCACAGCAGCAGCUGCUCUAGAUGUGCUGUCACACAUUGUUGCUUGGAGAAUUAAGCACUAUUUCAGUGCUUCCAGUGAGAGAGGACAACUAGAAGCUUGUUCCUGGUCUCUCUUGGACCAUCUGCCGUAAGUGUCUUUUAUCUUGCUAAUUUUAA